rnacentral:misc_RNA from 1 species
CGUUUUAGAAACAUCAGUGGCCAACAGAUCGCCAGAUCGUUGAGCUGCAUUGGCGGGAUUUCGCCGUCUUCGUUUCUCUUUCUUCGCGGACGAACACGCGCUGGGCCUGCAUCAUGCAGGAUCCCACGGUCCCUGACGGGAUAUGCGUUAGGGGCUUGUAGCUCAGUUGGUUAGAGCGCGCGCUUGAUAAGCGUGAGGUCGGAAGUUCAAGUCUUCCCAGGCCCACCACUUUCAUCGAGUGAGCAUUCGUCUUCUGGUUACGGGGCCAUAGCUCAGCUGGGAGAGCGCGUGCUUUGCAAGCAUGAGGUCGUCGGUUCGAUCCCGUCUGGCUCCACCAGAUGGUUUGAUCACCGAGAUCUUGCACCGUCGUCCGCGAAACAUCACUUCGCAUCCUGCUAGUCUGGAUAGACAGCAAGAUGCGUGUUUUCUGACAUCGUAAAGAGGAGAUCGAUCCGAGUUGGGUCGUGCAGCAGAUUGUUGCGCGAACCUUCAUUAUCUCCGGAUCAUUUUCGGCGCUCGCUUUCAGCCGUGAGGUUGAAUGCGAGUUGUAAAAUGAUCCUUUUAGCGAAGCUUGACCGCCUCGCUAUCGGAACGAUCUUACGAAGCAAGCUGGUCUUUCUAGUCAAUGUCCGGCUGCACGUAGCAUUCAUCGAGGGUGCGCGCCGUAAGGCAAUCGUGCAGACAACAUUCUGCCGAGUGUGUGGACAUUGAUAAUGAGAGCAAUCAAGUGCCUUAAGGGUGUUCGGUGGAUGCCUUGGCGCUGAGAGGCGAUGAAGGACGUGCUACGCUGCGAUAAGCCGUGGGGAGCUGCGAAGAAGCUUUGAUCCGCGGAUUUCCGAU